CCCACACUGCAAGAGACUCGACCACAAGCAGAUGCUAAUGAGGGGGAUAAAGUCUGAAACUGAUUGGGAGGAAGUAGAAAGGGUGUUCAAAAGAAAGGUAGUGAAAGCUGAAGAAGGCUAGUGUGGAUUAUGAGAACAUGUUCGAGGAGGUGCCCAUUGUCAUCAAGAACUCUCAUCUCAUCAACGUUCUGCUGUGGGAGCUGGAGGACAAAUCCACUACUGCAGACAAACACAAGCUCUUGAACCUUUCCAGCAGGUUUGACCACACACACAUGCAUUACUAUACAAGUGCAGUAUUUCCUAAUGCGAAUGAGGACAUGUGUUAAUUUAUACUAGUGCUGAGAUAUUCCUUAUGAUGCUUGCUCUCAUUAGCAGUAACUUAUCUCUGAUGAGGACUAAUGAAGAGGUCAUUGCCGCCCAGGUGAUUUGCUCCUAAAGGACAUCUGCUUUUAAUGGCUUUCAUGCCAGACUAUCUAAAUAAAAGGAUUUUGCUAACAGUGAAACUGUUCAUUAGACAGUCCUCAGACUUUUAGCUCUUGAACUUAAAGUGAACAUUCAAAUAUGACAGUUCACAAGCAGCUUUACUCCUCAUUCUGACAGAAGCUAGACAUCUCCUACCUUGAUCUGACAGAAUAAAUGUGGGGAUGAAUUUAAAGACACAAUUUCUAGGAAGGGUUUUUAUUAUGUACUAAAACACUAUCUGUUUCUAAAUUCAUCCUUUGUAAGCACCACUGUCACCAAAAUGUCAAUUCUGCAGGUCAUUCUGUCUUCAACAAUAACAUCCGAAAACAUUUGCUGGCAGCUAUUAAAUCAUGUUUUGCAGUACU